GCCUGGAACCCCACUGUUUCAGGAUAUAGUCUCAGACUGCCUCCUCACUUUCAGGAAUGGGGUACCCCAGAAGACCAUGAGUACCUGAGCCUUCACCCCCUCCUGAACUGAAGCCCCAGCACCAUCUGAUGGGCACACAGUCCCCCUGCAACUUCUCCACUGCUGUCUACCGCUGCUAUGUGGAUGGCUUACAGGCUUCGGCCAUCAUCAUCAUCCCCACCCUGCUGUGCUCGAGCACCCUGCUCAUUGUCAGCUGUAUCAUUUGGAAGACAUGUCGCCGGCUGUCUCGGGCCACCCACCCCAGCCCACCAUCCCCAUGAGGAGCUCAGUCAGAUGUGAAUGCUACGUAUGAAGAAGAACAGGACUUCUGUGCUUAUCUUUGUGCCUCAGUGUAAAUAGUCAGAGAAGCUGCUUAACAAUAGUUGCUGAAUGGAUGGCUGGACGAGGA